rnacentral:rRNA from 1 species
GUGAGAUGUUGGGUUAAGUCCCGCAACGAGCGCAACCCACGUUUUUAGUUGCCAUCAUUCAGUUGGGCACUCUAAAGAGACUGCCGGGGACAACUCGGAGGAAGGUGUGGACGACGUCAAGUCAUCAUGCCCCUUACGUCUUGGGCUACACACGUCCUACAAUGCUACAGACAGAGGGCAGCGAGCGCGCGAGUGCAAGCAAAUCCCAUAAACUGUGGCUCAGUUCAGAUUGCAGGCUGCAACUCGCCUGCAUGAAGGCGGAAUCGCUAGUAAUCGCAGGUCAGCAUACUGCGGUGAAUACGUUCCCGGGCCUUGUACACACCGCCCGUCACACCAUGGGAGUUGGCCACGCCGUCGACGCGGCCG